rnacentral:snRNA from 1 species
ACUCAUACCUUGCAGGGGAAAUACCAUGGUCAUGAAAGUGGUUUUCCCAGGGUGAGGCUCAUCCAUUGCACUUCAGGUGUGCUGAUCCCUGUGAUUUCCCCAAAUGUGGGGAACUCAACUGCAUAAUUUGUGGUAGUGGGGCAUUGCAUUUGUGCUUUCCCUGG